ACCCGUCUUACCGGGCGGGCACUAGGACCCAGGGGAGGCUGCUGCUGCAGAGGCUGCUGCACCGCUCGUGACUGUCAGUCCUCCUUGUAGCUCAUUGGUUAAGCUGUGGCUCGAGCCUGUUAACAGUUAACGGACAGGAAACGGCUCUGACAGGACACAUUCAUGUCGAGGCAGUGAUGUGAAUGUGUGGCUACUGUUUGGCCUUAGCUCACGCCAAAUAAAUGAAAGAUACCCCACAAGCCAAUCGGGACCUUCUCUUGUGAAGCCCAGACGGAAGAGAGAGAACAAAGGCUGAACCUUAACUUCCAAUGCC